rnacentral:rRNA from 1 species
AGAAUCAACGCUGGCGGCGUGCCUAACACAUGCAAGUCGAACGCGAAAGGGGAGCAAUCCCUGAGUAGAGUGGCAAACGGGUGAGUAACACGUGGGUGACCUGCCUUCGAGUGGGGGAUAACGUUCCGAAAGGAACGCUAAUACCGCAUGACAUCCUGCUUUUGGAAAAGCGGAGAUCAAAGCUGGGGAUUCGCAAGAACCUAGCGCUUGAAGAGGGGCCCGCGCCUGAUUAGCUAGUUGGUGAGGUAACGCUCACCAAGGCUACGAUC